rnacentral:rRNA from 1 species
AUUAACGCUAGCGGCAGGCAUAAUACAUGCAAGUUGAACGGCAGCACAGGUAGCAAUACCGGGUGGCGAGUGGCGCACGGGUGCGUAACACGUAUGCAACCUACCCUAUACAGGCGAAUAACCUUUAGAAAUGAGGGCUAAUACGCCGUGGUAUUAUCUUAGGGCAUCUUGAGAUAAUUAAGAUUCAUCGGUAUAGGAUGGGCAUGCGUCCCAUUAGUUAGUUGGUAGGGUAACGGCCUACCAAGGCUAUGAUGGGUAGGGG